CUAACCCAGAGAAGAUCUGAAAAAGUCUGUUUCCACCUAACAUUUAGACUUCAUCACCUGUGGAAGUUUGGUUUGUAGAAAUGAACAGAUUCUUCUUUGUUCCGGGCACUGUUGCCAACUCCUCAGUAAGGAAAGUCGUUGUUGGCUGUCCUAAAAGUCGCUAGAAGUUGCUAAAUGACGUCAUCGCCAAAUUUGCAUAUUUCCCAGUUUGCAGGUAAUUGUAAUCAACGUUGUAGGAGAGAGGAAUAACGUUGUGGAAUAGACCAAAAAGUGAGUAUAAAACAAUCAAAAUAUGUUUUUGUACUAGAGGCUAAAUGCUGUGGUUUAUUUUAGCAUGACAGUGAAGAAACAUUUUCGUUUGUAUGGCUUCGUAAGUCUGGAUGGGAUCUGUAGGGACUGCGCAUGCGCGAUUCAUCUAUCGUCUGGCCACGGAGUGAUGUGGGUCUCCCCCUCCCCUCACUGAGACUGCUGCGGGGUGACUGGACUGACAGCCUGUGCUCUGGGAGGGGGAGAAGCUCACAGCAGCACCUGCUGCUUGUUGAAAACAGUAACUGCAGAAUGAGCCGAGUUUUCCUAUCAGAGUCUCCAAAACGGCAGAAAAAGUCGCUAGAUUUGUCGCUAGUCGCUUUUGACAAAAAAAAGUCGCUAGGAGCUUUGAAAAGUCGCCAGAUUUAGCGAGAAAGUCGCUAAGUUGGCAACACUGGUUCCGGGUGGUUCCGUUGCAGCAAUAGUUGGGGUGGUUUCCAUUUUAGUUCUAGCAUCACUGGUAGGAUUCUGUAUAAAUAAAAAGAAAAAAGACAAGAAAAAUGAGCGUGCUGGCAGGAGGGAAAACUAUAAUCAAGUACAAAUGGAGCCACUGAGGAUGGAGGGGAAGAGAUGGAGACGAUGAAGCUGCACCAGAUCCUGCUGCUCUGUUGAACUGAACACUCUGUUGGUACUGAAGUGAGAAUCUAUCAAAUAAAUGUCAACUGAACGUCCAGUUAAAGCAGCAACCUCCAACCACUGUUUAAAAAGUCAA